CCUACGGGGUGCAGCAGUGGGGAAUAUUGGACAAUGGGGGGAACCCUGAUCCAGCCAUGCCGCGUGUGUGAAGAAGGCCCUCGGGUUGUAAAGCACUUUCAGUGAGGAAGAACGCCUGGUGGUUAAUACCCAUCAGGAAAGACAUCACUCACAGAAGAAGCACCGGCUAACUCCGUGCCAGCAGCCGCGGUAAUACGGAGGGUGCGAGCGUUAAUCGGAAUUACUGGGCGUAAAGCGCGCGUAGGUGGCUUGAUAAGCCGGUUGUGAAAGCCCCGGGCUCAACCUGGGAACGGCAUCCGGAACUGUCAAGCUAGAGUGCAGGAGAGGAAGGUAGAAUUCCCGGUGUAGCGGUGAAAUGCGUAGAGAUCGGGAGGAAUACCAGUGGCGAAGGCGGCCUUCUGGACUGACACUGACACUGAGGUGCGAAAGCGUGGGUAGCAAACAGGAUUAGAUACCCGAGUAGGC
rnacentral:rRNA from 1 species